CUUUUCUUCCCCUAUCGGAGGAGUAAGCUGGUUCUCUCCCGAGAACAUCUCUACAAGGUAAUUAGUGUGGAGAAGAUCGACCUCAGCCUUUCUUUGAACAUUGUUCAAAAGGCUCUGUAGUAAAUGUGAAUGUGGAAGUGUAAGGGGUGUCCAGUUGCUGUAGCAAGUAGGUCUGCACUACUUACACAUUAUAAACUUGAUCAUCCACAUUUUGGACGCACCAUUCGCUAUCCAUGUACAUAUUUGAAAUGCCCAUGCACAUUUAAGACAUGGAAUGCUUUAAUUGUACACCAGAGUAAAGUGCACUCCACACAAGUUAGUCAGACCCAAAAAGAGUUAUCUACUUUCAGUUGUCACAUAUGUAAGUGCAAUAAUGUAUCUAAUGAAAGGGAGUACUUUGUUCAUAUCAACACACAUCUGAGAAAAAGUGAAAAUGUCCCUUGCAUGUUUGUUGGCUGUAGUUUUCAAACUAGUAUUUAUGGAACAUUUAAGUCCCAUAAGAGUCGUCGACACACACCUCACACCUUAACUGAUUUUGCACCUGGUAUUGUACUACAUUAGCAUCAUCAUCAUCAUCCUCAUUACAUGAUUCUUUUGAUCAUUGUCAGGACGAGGAAGAGGACAUUUCUGUGACAUCCUUAGAUCAUAAAAGCCAGGACAACGCACUCCCAAGAAUUGUUGAGCAGCAGCUUGCAGCAGCGUUGUUGAAGUUGGAGUAUUUACUGCAUGUGCAAGGUACAGCAAUUGAUGCAUUUCUGCAAGAACUCUACUACUUACUAAGCUCAGCAUCAGUCCCACUUUCCAGAGGUUUAGUAAGUGAGAUCCUUGAGCGUCAUAACGUCCAAGUGGAUGACUCUGUAGUGACUGAAAUCGCCACAGCAGUUUGUUCAUCUAACCCAGUUCAUAAAGCAAUUGAAAAAGGUGGCCCACUUAGCACUUCGUAUCAACGUAAACAAUUUUACAAAAAGAAAUUCAAUGUUGUGGAACCAAUCACCUACAUACUUGAUCGUAAAAACAAACACACUUUUCAGUAUGUCCCAUUGUUAAAAUCCUUGCAGCAAAUAUUGAAUUGCAAAGUAAUUUCUUGAAAAGACUCUUGAAAGUCAUUGUGGGCAGCGGGACAUAGAAAUUGACCCAUCGUUUGAAUUCAGGUCCCCCGAAAAUGGUUUGCAUUUU